rnacentral:rRNA from 1 species
AGAGUUUGAUCAUGGCUCAGAGCGAACGCUGGCGGCAGGCUUAACACAUGCAAGUCGAGCGGGCGUAGCAAUACGUCAGCGGCAGACGGGUGAGUAACGCGUGGGAACGUAUCUUUUGGUUCGGAACAACUGAGGGAAACUUCAGCUAAUACCGGAUAAGCCCUUACGGGGAAAGAUUUAUCGCCGAAAGAUCGGCCCGCGUCUGAUUAGCUAGUUGGUGAGGUAAUGGCUCACCAAGGCGACGAUCAGUAGCUGGUCUGAGAGGAUGAUCAGCCACAUUGGGACUGAGACACGGCCCAAACUCCUACGGGAGGCAGCAGUGGGGAAUAUUGGACAAUGGGCGAAAGCCUGAUCCAGCCAUGGCCGCGUGAGUGAUGAGGGCCCUAGGGUUGUAAAGCUCUUUUGUGCGGGAAGAUAAUGACGGUACCGCAAGAAUAAGCCCCGGCUAACUUCGUGCCAGCAGCCGCGGUAAUACGAAGGGGGCUAGCGUUGCUCGGAAUCACUGGGCGUAAAGGGUGCGUAGGCGGGUCUUUAAGUCAGAGGUGAAAUCCUGGAGCUCAACUCCAGAACUGCCUUUGAUACUGAGGAUCUUGAGUUCGGGAGAGGUGAGUGGAACUGCGAGUGUAGAGGUGAAAUUCGUAGAUAUUCGCAAGAACACCAGUGGCGAAGGCGGCUCACUGGCCCGAUACUGACGCUG